rnacentral:rRNA from 1 species
AUUGAACGCUGGCGGCAUGCUUUACACAUGCAAGUCGAGCGGCAGCGCGGGGGGCAACCCUGGCGGCGAGCGGCGAACGGGUGAGUAAUGCAUCGGAACGUAUCCUGUAGUGGGGGAAUAACUCACCGAAAGGUGAGCUAAUACCGCAUAAGCUCUGAGGAGGAAAGCGGGGGGACCGAAAGGCCUCGCGCUGCAGGAGCGGCCGAUGUCCGAUUAGCUAGUUGGUGAGGUAAAGGCUCACCAAGGCGACGAUCGGUAGCUGGUCUGAGAGGAUGAUCAGCCACACUGGGACUGAGACACGGCCCAGACUCCUACGGGAGGCAGCAGUGGGGAAUUUUGGACAAUGGGGGAAACCCUGAUCCAGCCAUGCCGCGUGAGUGAAGAAGGCCU